ensembl:piRNA 21ur-2930 ncRNA
AUUAGCAUUACGUAAUGCUUG